rnacentral:rRNA from 1 species
AUAAGGUCACGGCAAGACAAGCCGAAAUAGGUGUCCAGUAUAAGUGCAGUGAUGUACGCAGCUGAAGCAUACUAACAGACCGGUAGACUUGAAC